CCUACGGGCGGCUGCAGUGAGGAAUAUUGGUCAAUGGACGAGAGUCUGAACCAGUCAAGUAGCGUGAAGGAUGACUGCCCUAUGGGUUGUAAACUUCUUUUAUAUGGGAAUAAAAUGUUCCACGUGUGGGAUUUUGUAUGUACCAUAUGAAUAAGGAUCGGCUAACUCCGUGCCAGCAGCCGCGGUAAUACGGAGGAUCCGAGCGUUAUCCGGAUUUAUUGGGUUUAAAGGGAGCGUAGGUGGAUUGUUAAGUCAGUUGUGAAAGUUUGCGGCUCAACCGUAAAAUUGCAGUUGAAACUGGCAGUCUUGAGUACAGUAGAGGUGGGCGGAAUUCGUGGUGUAGCGGUGAAAUGCUUAGAUAUCACGAAGAACUCCGAUUGCGAAGGCAGUUCACUGGACUGCAACUGACACUGAGGCUCGAAAGUGUGGGUAUCAAACAGGAUUAGAUACCCGUGUAGUC
rnacentral:rRNA from 1 species